rnacentral:rRNA from 1 species
GGAUGACCUGUGGCUGGGGGUGAAAGGCCAAUCAAACCGGGAGAUAGCUGGUUCUCCCCGAAAGCUAUUUAGGUAGCGCCUCGGAUGAAUACCUACGGGGGUAGAGCACUGUUUGGGCUAGGGGGUCAUCCCGACUUACCAACCCCAUGCAAACUCCGAAUACCGUAGAGUACUAUCCGGGAGACACACGGCGGGUGCUAACGUCCGUCGUGGAGAGGGAAACAACCCUGACCUACAGCUAAGGCCCCCAAUUCAUGGCUAAGUGGGAAAGCAGGUGGGACGACCAAAACAACCAGGAGGUUGGCUUAGAAGCAGCCACCCUUUAAAGAAAGCGUAAUAGCUCACUAGUCGAGUCGGCCUGCGCGGAAGAUUUAACGGGGCUCAAACUAUGAACCGAAGCUGCGGAUAUUAAUUUAUUAAUAUGGUAG